GGGGCUAUACAUGCAGUCGAGCGAACUGAUUAGAAGCUUGCUUCUAUGACGUUAGCGGCGGACGGGUGAGUAACACGUGGGCAACCUGCCUGUAAGACUGGGAUAACUUCGGGAAACCGAAGCUAAUACCGGAUAGGAUCUUCUCCUUCAUGGGAGAUGAUUGAAAGAUGGUUUCGGCUAUCACUUACAGAUGGGCCCGCGGUGCAUUAGCUAGUUGGUGAGGUAACGGCUCACCAAGGCAACGAUGCAUAGCCGACCUGAGAGGGUGAUCGGCCACACUGGGACUGAGACACGGCCCAGACUCCUACGGGAGGCAGCAGUAGGGAAUCUUCCGCAAUGGACGAAAGUCUGACGGAGCAACGCCGCGUGAGUGAUGAAGGCUUUCGGGUCGUAAAACUCUGUUGUUAGGGAAGAACAAGUACGAGAGUAACUGCUCGUACCUUGACGGUACCUAACCAGAAAGCCACGGCUAACUACGUGCCAGCAGCCGCGGUAAUACGUAGGUGGCAAGCGUUAUCCGGAAUUAUUGGGCGUAAAGCGCGCGCAGGCGGUUUCUUAAGUCUGAUGUGAAAGCCCACGGCUCAACCGUGGAGGGUCAUUGGAAACUGGGGAACUUGAGUGCAGAAGAGAAAAGCGGAAUUCCACGUGUAGCGGUGAAAUGCGUAGAGAUGUGGAGGAACACCAGUGGCGAAGGCGGCUUUUUGGUCUGUAACUGACGCUGAGGCGCGAAAGCGUGGGGAGCAAACAGGAUUAUAUACCCUGGUAGUCCACGCCGUAAACGAUGAGUGCUAAGUGUUAGAGGGUUUCCGCCCUUUAGUGCUGCAGCUAACGCAUUAAGCACUCCGCCUGGGGAGUACGGUCGCAAGACUGAAACUCAAAGAAUUGAUAGGAGCCCGCACCAGCGGUGGAGCAUGUGGAUUUAUUCUAAUCAACGC
rnacentral:rRNA from 1 species